CGCCGGGCGCCGUGGCUCACGCCUGUAAUCCAACACUUUGGGAGGCUGAGGCGGGCGGAUCACUUGAGGUCAAGAGUUCAAGACCAGCCUGGCCAACAUGAUUCUACUCUAAAAGUCACCAGGAAAAAUUCAGCUCCACUGGUCCGGGCUCUAAGUCUACUAGCAAAAUCUUCCAGAGAAGUGGAAAAGCCAUCAGCCAAUGUGUUAGACUAUCAUUUCCAUGACCUUACACCUAUCAAAAAGGCACUAUUACCAGGCUUAUAGAAUUCUAAAAAAGUUGGAAACCAUUUUCCAUUAUAAAAGAAAUUCUUCCAAAUCACACAAAACACUCUGACACUUCUCCAGUUCCCCCUUU
rnacentral:lncRNA from 1 species